rnacentral:rRNA from 1 species
UGAAGCCGGAAUUGCUAGUAAUGGCAGGUCAGCAUACUGCCGUGAAUACGUUCCCGGGCCUUGUACACACCGCCCGUCACACCAUGAGAGUUGGGAAUACCCGAAGCCUGUGAGCUAACAUAACGAGGCAGCAGUCGAAGGUAGAAUCAAUGAUUGGGGUGAAGUCGUAACAAGGUAAC